rnacentral:tRNA from 1 species
GGGUGAUCAGCUCAGCUGGGAGAGCACCUCCCUUACAAGGAGGGGGUCGGCGGUUCGAUCCCGUCAUCACCCACCA